CCUACGGGUGGCAGCAGUGAGGAAUAUUGGUCAAUGGGCGGAAGCCUGAACCAGCCAAGUAGCGUGCAGGAUGACGGCCCUACGGGUUGUAAACUGCUUUUAUACGGGAAUAACGCGCCUUACGUGUAGGGCUUUGCAUGUACCGUAUGAAUAAGGACCGGCUAAUUCCGUGCCAGCAGCCGCGGUAAUACGGAAGGUCCGGGCGUUAUCCGGAUUUAUUGGGUUUAAAGGGAGCGUAGGCCGCAUGUCAAGCGUGCUGUGAAAUGUCCGGGCUCAACCCGGGCCUUGCAGCGCGAACUGGCGUGCUUGAGUCUGCGGAAAGCAGGCGGAAUUCGUGGUGUAGCGGUGAAAUGCUUAGAUAUGACGAAGAACCCCGAUUGCGAAGGCAGCCUGCUGCAGCGGAACUGACGCUGAUGCUCGAAAGCGCGGGUAUCGAACAGGAUUAGAUACCCCAGUAGUC
rnacentral:rRNA from 1 species